GGCCAGCAGGAGCCCGAGCGCAGGCAGCAGGCAGAGCACCACUCCCACCAAGCUGGGGGCAGUAACGGACACGGCACCGUUGCACAGUGUACCAAUGUUUUGAUGGCUGCUCCCAGCAGGAUAAUGCACCAUGUCAUCAAAUCAUCUCAAACUGGUUUUUGAACAUGACACCGAGCUCACAUUACUCAUAUGGAACGAGCGACUUUCAUCACGAAUGUUUAGCCGACAAAUCUACAGCAACUGUGCGACGCUAUCAUGACAAUAUAGCGUAUAUGGACCAAAAUGUCUGAGGUCACUGACGAAAGACAAGGCCCUGAGAAGCAGUUCAAAGAGCAGCCUACAAAGACAUGAAACAGUCCUUAUUGUACAGUUUAUGUAUGAUAUGUGACCACAAGCUGAAAGGUUUUGUUUAUAAAAAGAA